CCGCCCAGCCCUGCUCGCGGAUAGCGGAGCGCGGCCUGGGCCCGCACGCAGCGGCGCAGACACCGGGAUCCCGCACGCCCGGCCCUCCCGACCCCCGGCCCGGGAGCGCGCAGCCCCGCGUCCACGGCCCCUGCAGCCCGGCCACGUCCUGGCGCGCGCCGGCCGCCGGGGCCCCGCUCAGCCGCGGGCCCGGAGUGCAAGAUGCUGCGCCGUCGCUCGCCCUCCUUCCCCCUGCCCCGGCUACUCACGUGCCAGAUGGCGAAGAAGAUGAGCGCGGCGGUGAGCAGCAGCGCCAGCAUAUAGCAGAAGGCCGCGAAAGUGAACGCCAUGGCCGGGGAGGAGCUGCCGGGCGCGCCGGGGCCAGCGGAGAAAGGCGGCGCACGGCCCUCUGGGUAAAACCAUUCACUUCCCCGGGCCUCAGCCUCCACCGCCACCGCGGCCACCUCCCGGCGCGCCUGCGCACAGGGUCUCCCGCGUGCGCGCCCCCUGAUGGCCGGAGUCUGCGUAGCACGUCUGUUGUCAGCACAGUUGAUCUGGUCGUUGAAUGAAUGCCCAGUUUGUUCCACAGACUGUUCUUCUGCUUGAGAGCUGGGAGACCAUCUUGGCCUUCUGGUCAGCACCAAGUCCGGUCCACACCAAGGAGACAAUCCUUCUUUGGCUCAGGAAGCUCUGAAGUCCCUCGGCCACUGCCAAGAGAGACAGGAUUGGGUGGUAACAGAAAAGAGCAAGUCUUGAACUGAUCUGAAAUCUACCUUCAUUCAACUCCAGGACUCUCAUAAAGAUCAGAUGUGAGCCUGCCGCCACACUCCACUCCAAGCCAUGAUGAUAACCGACUAACCCUCU